rnacentral:rRNA from 1 species
AUUGAACGCUGGCGGCAGGCCUAACACAUGCAAGUCGAACGGUAACAGGAAGCAGCUUGCUGCUUUGCUGACGAGUGGCGGACGGGUGAGUAAUGUCUGGGAAACUGCCCGAUGGAGGGGGAUAACUACUGGAAACGGUAGCUAAUACCGCAUAACGUCGCAAGACCAAAGAGGGGGACCUUAGGGCCUCUUGCCAUCGGAUGUGCCCAGAUGGGAUUAGCUAGUAGGUGGGGUAACGGCUCACCUAGGCGACGAUCCCUAGCUGGUCUGAGAGGAUGACCAGCCACCAUGGAACUGAGACACGGUCCAGACUCCUACGGGAGGCAGCAGUGGGGAAUAUUGCACAAUGGGCGCAAGCCUGAUGCAGCCAUGCCGCGUGUAUGAAGAAGGCCUUCGGGUUGUAAAGUACUUUCAGCGGGGAGGAAGGGAGUAAAGUUAAUACCUUUGCUCAUUGACGUUACCCGCAGAAGAAGCACCGGCUAACUCCGUG